rnacentral:rRNA from 1 species
CCAAUAGCGUAUAUUAAAGUUGUUGCAGUUAAAAAGCUCGUAGUUGAAUUUCGGGGUUCUUCCGUUGGUCAGGCUAACAAGUCUGUACUAGCGUGUAGAAUCUCUACCUUCUGGGGAACCAUCAUGUUAUUAAUUUAGCGUGGUGGGAAACCAGGACCUUUACCUUGAAAAAAUUAGAGUGUUCAAAGCAGGCUUACGUCUGAAUACAUUAGCAUGGAAUAAUAAAAUAGGACGGUGGUCCUGUUUUGUUGGUUUCUGAAUCACCGUAAUGAUUAAUAGGGAUAGUUGGGGGCAUUAGUAUUCAAUUGUCAGAGGUGAAAUUCUUGGAUUUAUUGAAGACUAACUUCUGCGAAAGCAUUUGCCAAGGAUGUUUUCAUUAAUCAAGAACGAAAGUUAGGGGAUCGAAGACGAUCAGAUACCGUCGUAGUCUUAACCAUAAACUAUGCCGACUAGGGAUCGGACGAUGUUAAAUUUUAUUGACUCGUUCGGCGCUUUACG